UACGUAGGCGGCAAGCGUUAUCCGGAAUUAUUGGGCGUAAAGAGCGCGCAGGUGGUUGAUUAAGUCUGAUGUGAAAGCCCACGGCUUAACCGUGGAGGGUCAUUGGAAACUGGUCGACUUGAGUGCAGAAGAGGGAAGUGGAAUUCCAUGUGUAGCGGUGAAAUGCGUAGAGAUAUGGAGGAACACCAGUGGCGAAGGCGGCUUCCUGGUCUGUAACUGACACUGAGGCGCGAAAGCGUGGGAGCAAACAGGAUUAGAUA
rnacentral:rRNA from 1 species